GGAGAGAGAGGCUGCGGGAAAGCCUCCACCUCCGGGCUGGAUGCGGAUGACGGCUGGCUGGUGGAAAUUCAGCAGGAAUCUGGAACACUCACAGGAUCUCCAUGGCAACCAAAGCAAGCUGCAGAAUCCAAGACAACGUGGCUCGGGCCCAUUCGUUCUCUCCCAACACCUCUCCAUCUCCAUCUUCCUCGUUUAGGCUGCGUGUGUGUGUGUUGUCAGGAAAGCUGACUCUUGAGGCCGGCAGUGUUCUAAACAGGCAGCGUCGAGGGAUGCCGUGCCUUUGAGGUCCUGUCGCCAUGGGUUUGUAACCAAGGGCGCCGUGGCUGUGGAGACUGGCCCCAGGCAUUUUUUAUUUUCCUUCCAUUCCCAGAUCAUCCAUUACAUUUCCACUCUGCUCCACGGGAAAAAAAGGAUGUUUGCUGUCUUGGGUUUGGGUUAUUAGGUACAUUCACCAUCUAAUACAACUGUUUUCACUCAUAUGUGCAUAUCCAAACAUCAACUUCAACUGUCCCUGGAUGAGGACACAGAGAAAUAGACACAUUUCUCUCUCUGUCACACAAAGAACAGCAUCACAUCUUAGAGUUUAAGAAGUUGCAACAAGCAAAUGUUUGACAUUCUCACUUAAAAAAUGACCAAAGAUUAUAGAUUGAUUAUCUAUUUUUCUGUCAACUGAUGGACGGAUCCACUGAGCCUUAUGUUGUGCCACAGGGUGGUGCCUCUGCCUCUCAUGUCACAGUUAAAAAAGGAUGUGAAGGCUUGCACAAUUAAAGAAGUGUUCUUUUUCACAUCAUGAAGACAGAAAUAUUCAAAACAUGCCGACACAACUAACAGCUAUAACGUUUGUUUCCCUCUGUGUCUCUCCUCAGCUACAGACUUUGUUCCUCUUUCAUGAUUCAUCAUCACGAUGAGUUCAAAUCAUCUGUUUGUACGUGUCUUUGCAUCAUUAAUGCUUUUACUAACACACCAAAGUGUGUGGCAACGCACAAGAAGCACACAGACUAAAUGAAACUUACCUUUGAAACACGGAAACACAAAAGCCACAGACACAAAUGCAUGCACCCACACACACAGUCACACAUUAGACAGACUGACUGAGCCAAGACAAAUGAAUUAAAGUCACAUUCUGCAGAUUAAAUGAGUUCCUACCAGUGAUACAAAGGCAGAACUCAAGUGUCAGUCUCAACUCAGUGCCCCUGCAGCCUUCUUCUGACAGCUGCCGCAAACAAA